rnacentral:lncRNA from 1 species
CGGAGGUAUUAUUAUUAUUACAGCAUUCCGCUGUAUUGUUAUCACCGCAUGCGAGCCAUUACAGUGUUAUUAUUAUUACUGCCCUGUAUGUGCUGUUCAUCAGGGAUCCGCAGUUACGUACAAAUCUGACCUAAAGACAUUCUCAGGAACACAUCUCUGUAGCCCAGGCACUGCCUGUAUUUGUUUAGGAAUUUUCUAUCGGUCCCUUACUUAUGUAACUGCUACUUUAUAACCGGUCCCUAGAAGGGGGCGGGUCUUCCUGGAAGUUUUGACUGCUGUUGUUUUCAUUUUCCAGUGACUCAGAGCAGUCCCGGACUUCUGGAGAAGAUCUGAAACCCAUAGGGGCUUCUUGUAACUGCAAGUCCAACAGAAACUCUGCAUCACCAUGGUGACCCCCUGUGGCCUACUCAGUGACAAACAGGAGCCAGUGCCACUUAAGAGUGUCUCUGUGAGCUUGUCCAUUAAUGAGUUUGUGACCAGUGUGUCUGCAACCCUCAACAUGACAAUAAGAAUUCCUUGGAGGGCCGCCUUUAUC